rnacentral:lncRNA from 1 species
GGCGAAGGAGGGGGGAUCCGGAGCUGGGUUGGGUCGGAAAUGGACGGAGGGGCUGAACCGAACCAAGGCGAGGCUUCACGGUGGCCGAAGGUGGCCGGAUCGUGGCCGGUGCUGGCCAAGACAGAGCUGAAUAGAGGCGGUUGGGAGCUGGACGGCGCACGGUGGGGACGGCAAACGCGAAGGGGCGGUGGCGGAGCGCACGGCGUGCGCGGGUGGUGCGGACGGCGGCCCGGCAGCGUGCGACGAGCUGCUCUUGUGCGACUUCUUCUUCUGCUCCUGGUUCCGUUCGCAAAAAGAAGAACGAAGAAGGAGAAGAAGAAGGUAACGUGGGGGAGGAGGCAAGAAGAGAGAGAAGAGAUAA